UUUAAAUAAAAAAAAUAUUUAAAUAAUUAAUAGCCACAAAACAUAACAACUCAUAUAGAUUCAAAUAAUAACGGUCUCGUUCGCACAGCAUGCAUUAUUCAUACAAGAAUUGGCCAAUUUAUUGAUAGAGAUGAGAUUGAAGGCGAGGAUUGAGAAAGCAUUCAAGUGGGGUUGCUCUGAGGUUGGUUAAUCCAAUGCUCUCACUCAUAUCAAGCUGCUCGCUAGUUGGGUUUUCAAUAUCAAACCCCUGUAGCAAUGUAGCAAGAGUUAAUUGCAAAACCUGAAGAGCAAAAGAGACACCAGGGCACAUCCUUCUUCCAUUGCUAAAUGGUAUAAACUCAAAGUUUUGGCCCCUAAUAUCAUAAUCUUUGUGAAUUGUAAGAAAUCGUUCUGGUUGGAACUCAGAAGGGUUAGACCACACCCUAGGAUCACGAUGAAUCUUGGUAAGAUUAACGAGGAGUCUUGUGCCUGCUGGAAUAUGGUAGCCAGCUACAG
rnacentral:misc_RNA from 1 species